rnacentral:rRNA from 1 species
UUGUUCAACGGCCGCGGUAUCCUAACCGUGCGAAGGUAGCGUAAUCACUUGUUCUUUAAAUGAGGACUAGUAUGAACGGCUUCACGAAUGCUAUACUGUCUCCUUUGUCCAAUCAGUUAAACUAAUCUCCCCGUGAAGAAGCGGGGAUUCACUUAAUUCUAAGCAAAAAGCCACAUCUUUAUGCAUCAAUAAUAUUGACCUAAAUUGACCCAAUUAUUUGAUAAACGAACCAAGUUACCCUAGGGAUAACAGCGCAAUCCGCUUUAAGAGCUCCUAUCGACAAGCGGGC